GCAAGAAGCAAAUUAUGAAGUAAACCUCUUGACCACCUCUCCCUGUGACCCUUCAGCAGGUAUCUAGCAAACUCCAACCUCAGAGAAUGUGGCAUCGAACUUGUUCUUCCCUCAAGUUCCCGGAUAUUAGAUUACCAACUUUUUAAAAGAAAGAAAGAAAAGAAAGGGGGCUGGAGAGAUGGCUCAGUGGUUAAAGGUGAUUGCUGCUCUUGAAGAGGACAAAAGUGUGGCUCCUGAUAACCACGGUUCCUUUGCGUCCAGAGAAUCUGAUGUCCUCUCUUCUGCCCUCAACUGGCACCUGCCCACACUUGAGUGUUCCUCCACACACACACAAUAAAUAAAUAAGUGAAAUAAAGAAUUUAAGAGAAUUAUAA